rnacentral:rRNA from 1 species
GACGAACGCUGGCGGCGUGCUUAACACAUGCAAGUCGAACGGAAAGGCCCUGCUUUUGUGGGGUGCUCGAGUGGCGAACGGGUGAGUAACACGUGAGUAACCUGCCCUUGACUUUGGGAUAACUUCAGGAAACUGGGGCUAAUACCGGAUAGGAGCUCCUGCUGCAUGGUGGGGGUUGGAAAGUUUCGGCGGUUGGGGAUGGACUCGCGGCUUAUCAGCUUGUUGGUGGGGUAGUGGCUUACCAAGGCUUUGACGGGUAGCCGGCCUGAGAGGGUGACCGGCCACAUUGGGACUGAGAUACGGCACAGACUCCGACGGGAGGCAGCAGUGGGUAAUAUUGCACAAUGGGCGGAAGCCUGAUGCAGCAACGCCGCGUGCGGGAUGACGGCCUUCGGGUUGUAAACCGCUUUCGCCUGUGACGAAGCGUGAGUGACGGUAAUGGGUAAAGAAGCACCGGCUAACUACGUGCCAGCCGCCGCAGUAA